GCUACGGAAUAGUCCUGGGAAACUGGGGGUAAUACCGUAUACGCCCUUUUGGGGAAAGAUUUAUCGGCGAAGGAUCGGCCCGCGUUGGAUUAGGUAGUUGGUGGGGUAAUGGCCUACCAAGCCGACGAUCCAUAGCUGGUUUGAGAGGAUGAUCAGCCACACUGGGACUGAGACACGGCCCAGACUCCUACGGGAGGCAGCAGUGGGGAAUCUUAGACAAUGGGGGCAACCCUGAUCUAGCCAUGCCGCGUGAGUGAUGAAGGCCUUAGGGUUGUAAAGCUCUUUCAGCUGGGAAGAUAAUGACGGUACCAGCAGAAGAAGCCCCGGCUAACUCCGUGCCAGCAGCCGCGGUAAUACGGAGGGGGCUAGCGUUGUUCGGAAUUACUGGGCGUAA
rnacentral:rRNA from 1 species